UGCAUCGAUGAAGAACGCAGCGAAAUGCGAUACGUAGUGUGAAUUGCAGAAUUCCGCGAAUCAUCGAGUCUUUGAACGCAAGUUGCGCCCGAGGCUUGUCCGAGGGCAUUUCCGCUAGAGCGUCACCGCGCCCCCCACCGAUCCACUCUCGCCGCGAGGCGCCAGUCGGGUCGAGUGCAAGUGGCCGUCCCGGUGAAGCGGCCUCCUUUCACGAGGAGGCCAUACUUAGAAGGGUCGGCUGAAAUGGAUGGAAUCGGGCCGCCGUGGUGACACAGUCCGCGAUCGGGUGAUUUUGUCGCGAGCCUCCUGCGGGAGGUUCGUGGUGAAUUUUUCUAAGUGCUUGGCUGCGUCCCCCAGUUGGCUCGGGUUACCUCAUGCAGGUCGAGCGCGCCCCCGCGGCGCGCGUCACGCAUCAGACCUCUAAUCGGAAAAGACUACCCGCUGAGUUUAAGCAUAUCAAUAAGCGGAG
rnacentral:rRNA from 1 species